GGGAUAACAGCUGGAAACGGCUGCUAAUACCGCAUAAGCGCACAGAGCUGCAUGGCUCGGUGUGAAAAACUCCGGUGGUAUGGGAUGGGCCCGCGUCUGAUUAGGCAGUUGGCGGGGUAACGGCCCACCAAACCGACGAUCAGUAGCCGGCCUGAGAGGGCGACCGGCCACAUUGGGACUGAGACACGGCCCAAACUCCUACGGGAGGCAGCAGUGGGGAAUAUUGCACAAUGGGGGAAACCCUGAUGCAGCGACGCCGCGUGAGCGAAGAAGUAUUUCGGUAUGUAAAGCUCUAUCAGCAGGGAAGAUAAUGACGGUACCUGACUAAGAAGCCCCGGCUAACUACGUGCCAGCAGCCGCGGUAAUACGUAGGGGGCAAGCGUUAUCCGGAUUUACUGGGUGUAAAGGGAGCGUAGACGGCAAGGCAAGUCUGAUGUGAAAACCCAGGGCUUAACCCUGGGACUGCAUUGGAAACUGUCUGGCUCGAGUGCCGGAGAGGUAAGCGGAAUUCCUAGUGUAGCGGUGAAAUGCGUAGAUAUUAGGAAGAACACCAGUGGCGAAGGCGGCUUACUGGACGGUAACUGACGUUGAGGCUCGAAAGCGUGGGGAGCAAACAGGAUUAGAUACCCUGGUAGUCCACGCCGUAAACGACGAAAGCGAGGUGUUGGGGAGCAAAGCUCUUCGGUGCCGCCG
rnacentral:rRNA from 1 species